GGUGCGCAUCUGUUCUACCAUUUCUCAUUUCUUUUAAUAAAUUCCCCCGAGAGAUUCAUAUUCUAUUUCUUAUAUAUUUGCCGGUUUUCAUGUACUCUCUCGUUUUGAGGUCUUCUUUGUAGUCUCAUUCUCCCUGAUCUCCUCUCAAGGACCCAUUUCUAAGGAAGAAAAUUUUGCAGAGAAUAACUCUCCAGAUUUAUUGCUCCUAUCAAAUGGAAGUUUCUUCGAAUUGUCAUCCAACAGAGAGAUGUUCUCUCUCUAGGCUUGCUCCUCUAGAAGCGGUAUUGUUUGACAUUGAUGGAACGCUAUGUGAUUCAGAUCCUCUCCAUUACUUGGCUUUCCGUGAAUUACUUCUGGAGAUUGGUUACAAUGGUGGAGUCCCCAUCGAUGAGGAAUUUUUUGUUAAGAAUAUUUCUGGCAAGCAUAACCCGGAUAUCUGUCGUGCAAUCUUCCCUGAUUGGGAUAUGGAGAAGGGCCUUAAAUUCAUGGAUGAUAAGGAAGCAUUGUUUCGUAGAUUGGUAAAAGAAAAAGUGAAGCCUGUAGCUGGCCUACACAAGUUGUGCAAAUGGAUUAAAGAUCAUGGCUUGAAACGGGCUGCGGUUACGAAUGCUCCUAGAGAAAAUGCGGAGCUUAUGAUAUCAAUUCUUGGCCUGUCUGAUUUCUUUGAUGUGGUCAUAAUUGGUCCCGAAUGCGAGCGUGCAAAACCAUUUCCUGAACCCUACCUGAAGGGGGUAGAAACACUGAAGGCUUCUCCAAAUCAUUCUUUUGUGUUUGAGGAUUCUGCGUCAGGAAUAAAAGCUGGAGUGGCAGCAGGGAUGCCAGUUGUGGGUAUAGCUACCGCAAAUCCUGAACAUAUAUUGAAUGAAGCAGGGGCUACCUUUCUUAUUAAGGAUUAUAAUGACCCAAAAUUGUGGUCAGCAUUGGAAGAACUUGACAGAGAAGCAGUGGGAACAACAGCGUGAAAUGGAAAAGUACUGCAAGGUGCUGCCUUCUGCGGGGAAGUGUCAACUCAGUACAAAUGUUCAAGUUGGAUAGAUACAGAGGACAGGCAAACCCUUGCAUUCUGAAACUGUCUACUCAUCCAAAUUCACGGUCAAUGAAAGACCCAGAUUUAGAAGGCAAACGGCAGAAGAAAGUGUGUAUGGGUGGCAAUCAGAUACACUUGCUCAUGGUGGGAUGAUGUGCUACAGUCGACCUUCAUCAGAAAACUUGGAUCCAUCAAUAAUUGAAGGGUUAUGAAGCAGAUACUGAACAAGAAAUUUGUCCGUCUGAACUAUGAGAAGGUACUCUUCCACAAGCUGGUGAAAUUCCAACCAUGCAUGAAGAUGUGGCUACCCACACCUUGGAGUUUGAUUAGUUGUCCUCUAGAUGGACCGAUCAGCAAUGGUAAUUGACGAAUUUAUCAGUGGACUGAACACAAAUAUCUGUUUGGAGCUUGCCAAUGGAGAUUUAGAUCAGUUGAUGUGACAACUACGUAUGCAAAGAGAAUGGAAGAAAAAUACAGCUAUCUGAAUGACAUGCUUAAGAAAUUUUCAGCUUACAGACCUAUACCCAAGACUGAAGAAAAGAAAAUUGAGCCCCACAAAGUUGAAGGAAAGAAGCCAGUGUUCUCUAAGGGAAACAAAUUGCUAAGAAAUAUUGUGUCGCAACUGUGGUGAGAAAAGUCACGUUGGCAACAAAUGCCCCCACAAGACCCUUUUUUGGCAAAUGUAGUUGAGACGUAGUCUAAGGAUAACAAUGAUGACUAUGAAUGUUAUGAUGCUAUAUCCUCUUGAUCUUGAAAAACCUUGCCCUACGAAUGAUGAGGCUGAAGCUUACUCGGAUAAUCUUAUUCCUUUCUCUAAUGGACAAGUAGAGAAAGCUCCCUUUCAGGUAGAAGGGUAUUUUACUGCACAAUGAGGACUUCAAGGCAGUCCAUACAUUUGUUGAUGCUGGAGCACAACCGACCUCAUCUCAACUGACCUAGUACAUGAACUUAACCUCCUGCGAACGAGGUUUUUCAAGAUGGUUUUUGUGUCAGGUUUCGGGCCUCCUGUUAGAGAAGAGGCCGAUGUUGUUGCUCAAGUUCACCUGCAGUUUGGGCCACUUCACUUCUAGGUGCCUUACCCAGUCAGUCCCUUGGCAAUUGUGACAUUCUUUUAUGGUGACCUUGGCAGCAGAAGGUUGGUGUUCUCCAUGCCAAGGAGGGUGGAUGUAUUUGAUGUUUCCUCACACUGACUGAUAUGCCAUGAUGGCAACAGUUGUCUCCUUCUCUAGUUAUGAGCUAGUGCAUUCUACCAACUCUUAGAAAGGAUUUGUAUUCUGACCGUCAUCAUCCACAAGAUGUCACCUCAACGUUGAGAUCAUUACAAGGGGCCAAGGUUCACGACUUAACUUGUCUGAGUCAAGUUCUUUCAAGAAUGGGAGAAUUGAUGCAAUAACAAUUCCAUGGUUGGAGACUUGGAUUGACAUGAACCAGUCUGGAAGCCCAGGCCAAGCAGAACUAGGCCAAAACUUGAUCUUUGGUCCAAUAGGGGGGAUUUAGGGAAUUUAUUUAUUUAUUCGAGGUGUACUUGUAAAUUAUCUAUUAUUUGGAGAGGGUUAAUUUGCAUGCCACACCAGUACAGUAGUGUACUAAAAAAGCUAUUAUUCAUAUGGGGCCCACAUUUUCAGAAUAGGUGAAAGAAAAAAAACCAUGUGUCAGGGAACUGCACAUUGGCAGCAUGGCAA